GACAGAAGGUGCAAGCGUUACUCGGAAUUACUGGGCGUAAAGCGUCUGCAGGUGUCCUGCAAAGUCUGGUGUAAAAGCACGGAGCUCAACUCCGUGUACGUGCCGGAAACUUGUAGGAUCGAGAUACUCAGAGGCAUCUGGAAUGUCGUGUGUAGGGGUAAAAUCCGUAGAUCCACGAUGGAACGCCAAAAGCGAAGGCAGGAUGCUGGGAGUGUUCUGACACUCAGAGACGAAAGCGUGGGGAGCAAAGGGG
rnacentral:rRNA from 1 species